CCUACGGGAGGCAGCAGUGAGGAAUAUUGGUCAAUGGGCGAGAGCCUGAACCAGCCAAGUCGCGUGAGGGAGUACUGCCCUAUGGGUUGUAAACCUCUUUUGUCGGGGAGCAAAAGCCGGACGUGUCCGGCUGUGAGCGUACCCGAAGAAAAAGCAUCGGCUAACUCCGUGCCAGCAGCCGCGGGAAUACGGAGGAUGAGAGCGUUAUCCGGAUUUAUUGGGUGUAAAGGGUGCGCAGGCGGAUUUUUAAGUCAGCGGGAAAAUCGUGGGGCUCAACCCCAUCCAGCCGUUGAAACUGGGGAUCUAGAGUGUGCGAGAGGUAUGCGGAAUGCGUGGUGUAGCGGUGAAAUGCAUAGAUAUCACGCAGAACCCCGAUUGCGAAGGCAGCAUACCGGUGCACAACUGACGCUCAGGCACGAAAGCGUGGGUAUCGAACAGGAUUAGAUACCCUUGUAGUC
rnacentral:rRNA from 1 species